AACACGACAUUACACUUUCUAUUUGCGUGUAAUGCAUACGCCAAAUGCCAUUUUUGCGUGCAUAUGAUACGCCAAUCCUUCCCAUUAAUUUCGGUGGAGAGCAGAUGCGUCCAAAUAACACGCAUCAUCUUCAGCGGCAGUGACGUCACCAGCGAGGCUCGUUCAGUUCACCUGAUGCGCGUACACCUUCAAACAGAAUUAACAGGGAACUUCAACUCCACGCUCCCAAUGCUGAUACUGAAGAAGCUGUCAAGUGGGCUGAACAAGUCCUUCAAAGGAUCAACCCUUCACAGGAAGGCCUGUCAUGAGAUUUGAAUUUGACCAUCUUGUGCAUUUAUGAAGAAGACCAAAAGCUGCAAAGGCAAACACUUCCAAUGGCAGAAACUGAGAGUUUGCAUGAUGGCAUUUUCUCAGACGCUGAAUCUGAUGUGUACAGAUGAACUCAGGAGCCUACUAGAGUUGCCAAGGAACUUGUGCUUGAACUGAAGACCAGAAACGCAAAGAAAAUCAGUCAAACCAGUCCUAAAGAAAUGAGGAAUGAACAUGGACUUCUUGUGCCCCAAAAGAAAAGACAGAAAGCUCCUAAAAUGAGCAAAUAAGCUGUGCAUCAUCUCUGUGAUUUGGAAAGGAAAUGACUGAAUAUGAUGAAGCCAGUUGAUGAAGAUAUCAAUUGAAUGGCCACCGAGUGCAGCACUGCUACCUGAACCCAUCAGUUAUCUUCUGUGAAGACUGCAUUCACAAACCGCUCUACUGCGACAGCUCAGAUGUUACGGCCUGUAAAAGUAAACAUCACAGCUAAACAACGAGAGCUAGUUGUGGUGGGAUUCUUUUGGCCAAUAUCCCCAACAAGAAUCAAUGACAUCUAGACCAGGUGGAGUGUGAGGAGGACCGUCAGAGACUCCAGCCAGCCGAGCCAUGGAUUGCUCUCACUGUUACCAUCAGGCAGACGUUAUCACAGAACCUACACCAGCAGACAGUGAGACAAGUUCCUUUCACAGGCAAUCAGACUGAACUGAACUCAUACCAGUAAAACCAUACACACCCCACCAACCUCAUAUGCCCUGCACUCUUAUCAGUUAUGCUGACUGGACUCAAUAUUAUUAUGCACCCUGACAUUCUGUUUGCACUAAUUCAUACCGUGCUUUACUGCAGAGAUGUAUGUGUACUGUGAUUAUUAUUGUUUUCAAUUCAUGCUCUCUGUAUAGCAUAAUUUUUAACAUAUAUUGUUCUCUACCUGAAUUGAGUCCCUUAUAUAUGUGUGUUGCAUAUAUAUAUUCAGAAUUUGUAUUACAUAUAUUCAUGAUCUUAAUUCAUUUGUCAUCCAUACUGUCACGCUGCAGUCUGCACCCAAGACUUUCAUCACCUGUAUACUUGUGUUCAUUGUAUUGUGACAAUAAAGAUAUUUGAUUUAAAUUAG